CUCCCCUUGGCAAUGAGAGGCUCGGACAGGAGGGUAAAACAAGGGGGAGACAAGGUUGGGUGGAUCGGGAGGAUCACGAGGAAGAAGAGAGGCCGCGGGAUGGAGGAUUGGAUGGGACAUCGAAUUAGGUUCGGACUGCUAUCUAUAUAUAUAUAUAUAUACACACGAAGGUGGAUAGUUUAGGGGCUAAAUGGACCAUCCCAUUUAGAUCGGAUGAUCAAGAUAAAUAGGUUAGGGAGCCCAAUUGCAAAACCGAUUAUGUUUUCUGGUAUUUGUGGGUUGAUCCGGAUCCAACGGUUGUGACUGCACGUUUCGGGUUCGGGAAAUUAUUGGACGCACGUGAGGGGUGUAUGCACUGUGCAUAGGGGCUAGACAUGAGAAGAGAGGGAAGAUGCAGGCAGCCG
rnacentral:lncRNA from 1 species